GUCUUGUUGUGGACAGAAAAUGUCAUUUUUCUUCUGGUACUACUUUUCGUGUUUUCCUCCUCCAGGAGCCUCCGCCGCUUCACUGGUCGUCAACGUCUCUCCUCGGGGGGACUGAACCACUGUGGGGCCAACGGGGGGAUCCACAGAGUGAGUAAAGUGUAAACAAACAGUUUUUCAUUUAUAUUUCUUGUUCUUUCUUCUUUAAGAUCUGCGCAUAUUACCAGGAGAGGAUCCCGUGUGCAACAAUAAAAUAAAAACAGGACGUCUUCUGGUUAUUGUUUUUUAAAGAAACCUAGCCUUCAGCAAAAAGACUAAUUAAUGUGUGAACAAUAUUCACGUAAUUUUGCUUUAACUUAACUGUCUCUAUGUGUUCUGUAUUAAUUUGAAAGAUGCUUUUAACCAUUUAUUUCCAGGAGUAUUUCAAUAAAACCGUUGUGAAACCCU